rnacentral:rRNA from 1 species
GGGGAGGAGCCCAGAGCCUGAAUCAGCAUGUGUGUUAGUGGAAGCGUCUGGAAAGUCGCGCGAUACAGGGUGACAGCCCCGUACACAAAAGCGCAUGUGUUGUGAGCUCGAUGAGUAGGGCGGGACACGUGGUAUCCUGUCUGAAUAUGGGGGGACCAUCCUCCAAGGCUAAAUACUCCUGACUGACCGAUAGUGAACCAGUACCGUGAGGGAAAGGCGAAAAGAACCCCGGCGAGGGGAGUGAAAAAGAACCUGAAACCGUGUACGUACAAGCAGUGGGAGCCCCACCACCAAAGCAUUCUCUGGUGUUGAAGGCCCUGCAAAGCAGCAUCGCGGUGGCGGAGCGUCGUUUGCGACGCCCAACACACAAAACAAGCGGUGAGUGCUUUGGGGUGGGGUGACUGCGUACCUUUUGUAUAAUGGGUCAGCGACUUAUAUUCUGUAGCAAGGUUAACCGUAUAGGGGAGCCGGAGGGAAACCGAGUCUUAAUUGGGCGUUAAGUUGCAGGGUAUAGACCCGAAACCCGGUGAUCUAGCCAUGGGCAGGUUGAAGGUUGGGUAACACUAACUGGAGGACCGAACCGACUAAUGUUGAAAAAUUAGCGGAUGACCUGUGGCUGGGGGUGAAAGGCCAAUCAAACCGGGAGAUAGCUGGUUCUCCCCGAAAGCUAUUUAGGUAGCGCCUCGUGAAUUCAUCUCCGGGGGUAGAGCACUGUUUCGGCUAGGGGGCCAUCCCGGCUUACCAACCCGAUGCAAACUGCGAAUACCGGAGAAUGUUAUCACGGGAGACACACGGCGGGUGCUAACGUCCGUCGUGAAGAGGGAAACAACCCAGACCGCCAGCUAAGGUCCCAAAGUCAUGGUUAAGUGGGAAACGAUGUGGGAAGGCCCAGACAGCCAGGAUGUUGGCUUAGAAGCAGCCAUCAUUUAAAGAAAGCGUAAUAGCUCACUGGUCGAGUCGGCCUGCGCGGAAGAUGUAACGGGGCUAAACCAU